CCAACCACUGCCCUCACAGCCCCUACACACCGCUAUUCAAUUUCAAGUAACCGUUAGUGGCGUACCAGACAUCUCUUGUAGAUUGUUAGUUUCGUGCAAGUAGGUUAAAAAAUCCUUGGUUUGGUGGCAGAUGAAUGCAGUUGAAAGGACACCAGGGCUAAGGUAGUGACCAUCUAACACUAUGGGAAGGAAAAUGAUUGAAUGGAGCCCCAAUGUGUUGUACAGAAAUGGAAUGAAGGAAAUAUAACAACACCACAAGCCAAGGGAGGUCCUGAAAGUUCUCCCUAGCCAAACGCUGACAAAAACCAAAGGGGAUCAUCAACAUAGCAGGUGCACCAGCUGGUGAGAACAUGAGACCUAAUAAAUGGACAACGUGCUCUUUGCUGAAUUCAAGGGAGAGCGGAGACCUUGAAGAGCUGAAGGACAUAUGAACCUGCUGCCUCCACUCACUGUCUAGUGAGCAGCCCACGAGCCUAGAAAACAUUUAAGACUGUACAGCAUGCCGGUUUCAUCAUUGGGAUGGAUGGCUGAGAAAGGAAGAACUGUCUAGCGUCACUGAUGCUCUCUCAAACUGAAACAAAAUUUAAUAGUUGAAUGGACCACAUGAUUUGAAGUGCAGGAAGAGACCAGAAAUGAAGUCGUGGUAUCAGAAUAAUUGAUCAAGAAAAAUGUCAGAUAUUGUAAAAACCACAACUAGUAGAACUGGAUAGUUAUUUUGGAUGUUGUUGCCUGAUGUACUUUCUGCUAACCCAUUGUUACUCAUAGUAUCAAAAACAGUAGAAGAAGAAUAUUUUUGAAUGGUUAGGCCAUGUUGAUUUGAUUGUAUGGAUGGCAUCUGUGUGCGUAUCAUUUUUCAUCCUCUUCCUAAGUUUUCCACCAUGCUGCAUGUUGUACAGAGCACCUGUAACAUGUAAGGACACAAACACAAAAAAUCUAUUGUUUGGUAUCCACACUGUGUGCUUUGUCAUUUGUUCAACCUUCCUGAUCACUUUGAUUUCAUUAUGAACAUGGUCUUAAGAAAACUAUACAUCAGGCAGGAUUACAAGUCUUUGUCAUAUUCAUCAUUCAGUAUCAACAAAAUUGUUGAGCAUAAUUUUCUUUACAAACACGUAGAAGCCUGACUAAGUACUGAUAGGUUGAUGCUGCAAAUCAGUAUAACUUGUGAUGUUCAUCCAGUCGUUGUUAACACAAUGUUUUUAGAUUUAAGUAUGUGUAAUGCUGUAUUUAUAAGACACUGUUUCAUUGUACAUUUGCCAAAUAAGUAUCCUGAUGCAAUGUAUCCCUUGAUUGCAAGGUUGCUCAGCUUUACAAAGAUUUCAGAGCUGAAUAAAAUAACAAAAAUUUCUGUAGUAA